rnacentral:lncRNA from 1 species
UUGCAAGUGGUGACAAAUGUUAGUACUACCCUACUACUUCACAUGAGGUACAAAGUGGCGGUUGUGGUUUACCGGAGAGUUGAGACGCCUCGUCGGCGGUAAGCAAGGCGGCGAAGCCAUUGAUGCUAUGCUUAUAGCUAUAAAGGAGGGAUGAUCUUGCUCCCUCUUCAAACUUUUUGAUUGAAAAUAGGAUAAGAGAAAACUGAAGCUCUCUCUGUCCCACUUUCAAAAGAAAAUUUGGGGAUACGUGGUUUGCCUUGAUCGUGAUGAUGAUGAUGAUUGUUCUACGGUUGUUUCCAGUGUCAUUGUUUCAAUAUCGUUUAAGUCUAAUCACAGUUGUUUGAAAUUCAUACAAUCUGCUGCGAGUUAUUAUAGAUGAUGAUGAUGUAGAACCCGUAGUAGUUCUUACUAAACGCAAGAAAGGAUCUGCUACUGCUGUAAGAUAAGAUUUUAUCUUACUAGAGUAAUGGUCUUUCCUGCCUUUUUUGUAUUAAAAGAAGCAUAAGAUUUGGUUUAAAGCAGCUCUUUAUGAGCAAAGUUAAGGAUUGAGUAUGUGAGGACAGGGCUACUCUUCAACAGCUGAAGAAGUGUUUUCAUGUACUGCAUCUUGGUCUGUUCACGAGAGAUCGGGUUUCUAGAAACCUGAUUUGGAUGCAUUGAGUACUUUUGUGGAGUUCAUGGCGAUUCUCGAAGAUAUACAUUGAUGGAGUUUAAAGCUAAAAGCACUAAAUUUUAAGGAGCUGGUGCAUAGGUUUGAUUCAGGAUACACUAGGGUGGACUCGGGCCUUAGUGACAUAAAAGAAGCAAGAUUAGUUUAAAUAAUGUUAUGUCAUAGCGUUAUUUAAAUCAUUUCAAUUUAGACAUAUAACAUUUUACAUAAAUAACAUAUUUUUAACAAGACAUUGUUUUACAAAACAGUUUGUUUUAUACAACUCAUUUUACUCGGUUAUUUAAUUAACCAUACAUCUUUCUUUUAUAUAAUCUGAUUUCUUAUCAAGUUUUCAUAUGAUUUAUAAAAGAAAACACUUAACAAGAUUCAUGACUAAUUUUUAUUAAACAUUUCUUUAAACUCAAGUCAUGAAUCCUAUUUUCACAAAACCUAUGUAUCUCACAGGCAUUUUUAUGCUGAUGUACCUAUUUUCACAUGUGUUUUCAGAAGCUGGUGCAUAGGUUUGAUUCAGGAUACACUAGGGUGGACUCGGGCCUUAGUGACAUAAAAGAAGCAAGAUUAGUUUAAAUAAUGUUAUGUACUCCUGUUUCUUUUGUUUAAGACAAUGUAACUCUCUUGUUUGAUAAAUAAAACAUAACUU